rnacentral:rRNA from 1 species
UACAGAGGGUGCGAGCGUUAAUCGGAAUUAUUGGGCGUAAAGGGUGCGUAGGUUGGAUAUAAAGUGAGAUGUGAAAUUCCUGGGCUUAACCUGGGCCUUGCAUUUCAAACUUAUAUUCUAGAGUACAGUAGAGGGAAGUGGAAUUUCCGGUGUAGCGGUGAAAUGCGUAGAUAUCGGAAGGAACAUCAGUGGCGAAGGCGGCUUCCUGGACUGAUACUGACACUGAGGCACGAAAGCGUGGGUAGCGAACAGG